rnacentral:tRNA from 1 species
GCCCCUGUAGCUCAGUGGAUAGAGCAUUCGCCUCCUAAGCGAUGCGCGCAGGUUCGACUCCUGCCAGGGGCA